GACGAACGCUGGCGGCGUGCUUAACACAUGCAAGUCGAACGGAAAGGCCCUGCUUGCAGGGUACUCGAGUGGCGAACGGGUGAGUAACACGUGGGUGAUCUGCCCUGCACUUCGGGAUAAGCCUGGGAAACUGGGUCUAAUACCGGAUAGGAGCCAUUUUUAGUGUGAUGGUUGGAAAGUUUUUUUCGGUGUAGGAUGAGCUCGCGGCCUAUCAGCUUGUUGGUGGGGUAAUGGCCUACCAAGGCGGCGACGGGUAGCCGGCCUGAGAGGGUGGACGGCCACAUUGGGACUGAGAUACGGCCCAGACUCCUACGGGAGGCGGCAGUGGGGAAUAUUGCACAAUGGGCGCAAGCCUGAUGCAGCGACGCCGCGUGGGGGAUGACGGCCUUCGGGUUGUAAACUCCUUUCGCUAGGGACGAAGCUUUUUGUGACGGUACCUAGAUAAGAAGCACCGGCUAACUACGUG
rnacentral:rRNA from 1 species